rnacentral:rRNA from 1 species
GCAACGACAGAUUUACUGUCAUAUCUUUUUGUUUUGUGAAAUUGAAAUAGAAGUGCAGAUUCUUCUUUGUAGCACCAAGACGAAAAGACCCUUUUAACCUUUACUAUAAGCAAUUAUUGCUAAAACCUUAACGUAUUGUUCAGAAUAAACAACAGCUUAUGAUAUUUUUGUUUACAAAAAUAGAAGCAAAUGUGAGAUAUUGUUCUUUACUGGGUUGAGGCUAAUUUUUCGAAAGACAGUAAUUGCCUGUUAGUUUCUUUGGGGCG